UUUGACCAAAAACUAAAUCUCGCCCUUUUCACAAAACCCUUUUUCACACUCUCGUAUUCUUAAACACUGAGAAUUCGACUUUCGUCCUCUCAAACCCAGUCCUCUGACCUCUCUCUCAGUCCCCUACUCCCCUUGAUACAAAAAUCAAAACACAGUGACCUGGUCUCAACGGUGGACGACGGCAGCACGGCGGGCGGAAGCUUUAUCGCUUCUCUAUCUCCUCGAACAAUGGUCUUGGCCUUUCCACAUCACUCGAGAUCUCGGUCUCUCUCUCAAGUCUCAAUCUCUCCUCGACGGCAUCGACCCUCUCCUUCUCUCCUCGACGAUCGAAGGUCUUUUUAAUCGUCGUAAGUCGACAGCUCUAAUCGAAAGCAAAGAAAUGGAGCAGAUCCAAUUCAAUCCUGGAGUGUGUCGUUAUCACUAGUUUGGUGUUGAACAUCAAGAUGGGAGCUUGUGCGUCCAAGAUUUGGUCAAGAACCUUGGUACCAUUGCAAGGUCUGGCACCAAGAAAUUCAUGGAAGCCUUGGCAGCGUGGCUGCUGGACCUGUUUUUAGCAUGAUUGGUCAGUUUGGUGUUGGAUUCUACUUUGCAUAUUUUGUUGUUAAGAAGGAAGAGGAAAUUGAUGAAGAGAAGGAAGUGGUCAUGUUUCUGGCCUUGAUAUUUUUGACCUUUAUGUUUAGGCAGGGUUAGUAUGUUCAUGUUGGGAUGAUGAUGGAAUGAAUUGGUUUUGGAUAUUUAGUCAAUUAAUGGAUAUGUUUUUGGAUGUAUUGAUCAAUUAGUUUUGGUUAGAUUUC
rnacentral:lncRNA from 1 species